rnacentral:rRNA from 1 species
AGAGUGAACGCUGGCGGCGUGCCUAACACAUGCAAGUCGAACGAGAACGGGUUAUAGCUUGCUAUAACUGUCAGCUAAGUGGCGCACGGGUGAGUAAUAUAUAGUUAAUCUGCCCCAAAGAAGAGAAUAAUUGUUGGAAACGACUUGUAAUGCUCUAUAUGCCUUUAUCACAUAAGUGAGCAAGGGAAACAUUUAUGGCUUUGGGAUGAGACUGUACGGUAUCAGCUAGUUGGUGAGGUAAUGGCUCACCAAGGCUAUGACAUCUAACUGGUUUGAGAGGAUGAUCAGUCACACUGGAACUGAGACACGGUCCAGACUCCUACGGGAGGCAGCAGUGGGGAAUAUUGCACAAUGGACGAAAGUCUGAUGCAGCAACGCCGCGUGGAGGAUGACACAUUUCGGUGCGUAAACUCCUUUUAUAUGAGAAGAUAAUGACGGUAUCAUAUGAAUAAGCACCGGCUAACUCCGUGCCAGCAGCCGCGGUAAUACGGGGGGUGCAAGCGUUACUCGGAAUCACUGGGCGUAAAGAGCAUGUAGGCUGGUUUGUAAGUUGGAAGUGAAAUCCUAUGGCUUAACCAUAGAACUGCUUCCAAAACUGCAGACCUAGAAUAUGGGAGAGGUAGAUGGAAUUUCUGGUGUAGGGGUAAAAUCCGUAGAGAUCAGAAGGAAUACCGAUUGCGAAGGCGAUCUACUGGAACAUUAUUGACGCUGAGAUGCGAAAGCGUGGGGAGCAAACAGGAUUAGAUACCCUGGUAGUCCACGCCCUAAACGAUGCACACUAGUUGUUGCCUUGCUCGACAAGGCAGUAAUGCAGUUAACACAGUAAGUGUGCCGCCUGGGGAGUACGGUCGCAAGAUUA